AGCAACGGAUUUUUUUUUCAACAAGCAGAGCCAUAAUAUUUCUCUUGAUACUCAGUUUUCGCUUCGGGAACGGCGAAGUUUCAUGUGUCAUUACAUCCUGUGAAGGCAGAAGCGUGCAGCGUAUUUACUUGAGCAGAUGGAUUAGUUCUCUAUUGGUUGAAUCCAUGAUUUUAUAUAAUUCACUGGUUUGGAAGAUGGUCUACGUGCAGGCGUGGUUACUCCCAGGCUGCAAGAUACUGAUGUAAUGAAGAUUUGAAACCACUCCCAGAUGUUCGUGGACUGUCUACCACCUGAAGAAAACUACGCUUGUGAGAAGUAGCAGAGGUCAAAAUCCCUAAGUUAGAAUAAUUUCUUGAGUUACACGAGAAUGGACUUCUUCCCUUUCCAGGAUCAGGAAUUGGAGUUUCACUUCAACGGUAUUCGUUAUUAAAGAACUUCAGUGUUUGUACUUUUACUCCGCAAUAUUUUGUAAUGAUUUAAAAAUAGGGUCUGGCGACAGAGUCUUGGUACUUCAUAUAUGCCAUGAGUUGUCCUGCAUUGAUAGUUUAAAGGUGUAAUUCGCUAUUAUUGUAAUAAGUUUUAAAUAAUGUGCAUGUAAAUUCAAAUUAAAUUAACUAUCUGUGAUAGCAACUGCAAACUAGUGAAUUUUCCUUUCCAUGAAUUUACAAUUAAAUGCUGUACAGAGUUCG